UUUAAUAUGUGACCUCAGUGUUAAGAAGAAGCACUAAGCAGCAGGAAGGGGGUAAACUUAAUUUGGUAAACUUUUAGCUGACUGGACGGUUUCGUGGUGCGUCUCAGAUGUUGGUGAGCACCGUGCUGGUCACCAUGAC